rnacentral:rRNA from 1 species
CUAAGUUUGAUGGCGACCGGCGCACGGGUGAGUAACACGUAUCCAACCUGCCGAUGACUCGGGGAUAGCCUUUCGAAAGAAAGAUUAAUACCCGAUGGCAUAGUUCUUCCGCAUGGUAGAACUAUUAAAGAAUUUCGGUCAUCGAUGGGGAUGCGUCCCAUUAGGUUGUUGGCGGGGUAACGGCCCACCAAGCCUUCGAUGGAUAGGGGUUCUGAGAGGAAGGUCCCCCACAUUGGAACUGAGACACGGUCCAAACUCCUACGGGAGGCAGCAUG